rnacentral:lncRNA from 1 species
UCUAAAGCAACAAAUGAAAUGGCUUCUUUAGGGUUUCACCAACCCUUGAGUGCCGCCGCUCAGCCUUGUGCCAAAGCUCCGAUUACGACGGAGAUGGCAACAACUCGGUGGUUCCGGCAGAAAAAGGUAAGUUUCCCUUUCUCUUCCUCUUAUUAUUUUAAGCAAAAUAUAAAAAUAAAAGAAAAAUAAAAAAUAUAGAUAGAUAGUAAAAGAAUGAUGAACGCCAAUAAUGUAGAACGAAAAUAAAAAGAAACCUUUGUAUUCAAAAUAUUUUCGUAUUUAUUCUUGUAUCUGUAUUCCACUUUUUCUAUGUAUUUUUUCCUGCCUAUUUACAGUAUCUCAAUGGCUUUUUAUAGCCGAAAUAAGACAAUAAUAUAGAAAGAAAAUCUGUUUACAUUGAUUUGAUUCACAAUCUUUUGAUUUUUCUUUCCAUUUUUGCUGUUUAUUUCUUGUUGUGCAGGUGAAGAUUCGGCUCGUGCGGGGCUUGGCUGCGGCGCGAACGUGGAAGACUGCCUAGGGUUUCCUCUGUGCUAGAAACGCAGGGCCUCGAUCUUGUUUUGGGGUUUGGGCCAUAUAGGCCCACUAUAUUUUAGGUCAUUUUUAAUUUUAAUAGACCCGGGCCAAAAUCGG